rnacentral:rRNA from 1 species
GACGAACGCUGGCGGCGUGCUUAACACAUGCCAGUCGAACGGGGCAGCAAUGCCUAGUGGCGGACGGGUGCGGAAUACGUAGGAAUCUGCCCUUAAGUGGGGGAUAACCAGGGGAAACCCUGACUAAUACCGCCUGAUCUCUUCGGAGCAAAGAGGGGGACCGCAAGGCCUCUCGCUUCUGGAUGAGCCUACGUCUGAUUAGCUAGUUGGUAGGGUAAAGGCCUACCAAGGCGACGAUCAGUAACUGGUCUGAGAGGAUGAUAGUUCACACCGGAACUGAGGCACGGUCCGGACGCCGGCGGGAGGCAGCAAGGGGGAAUAUUGGACCGUGGGCACAAGCCUGAUCCAGCAAUGCCGCGUGUGUGAAGAAGGCCUUCGGGUUGUAAAGCACUUUAGCCUGGAAAGAAUAAACAUUGGUUAACACCCAAAGUCUUGACGGUACCAGGAGAAUAAGCACCGGCUAACUCUGUGCCAGCAGCCGCCGUAACAC